CAUUUUCUGGAGACACAAUAGCUUUCCUUGGCUCCCGAGGCCUCACCCUCCUCCUCUCCGGGUGCGGAGGCGUCUGCUGUUUCCAGCUGCCGAAAGGAGGCUUCAAACAGCCCGCAACGACGCUUGUUAAGACUCUGACUCACAGAAGCGGUUCUGGAAACCCUCAGAAGCUUAUUAAUCUGUGGAGCCGGCCCGGGAGCCGCGUCUGCGCACCCCGCUUGCAGGGCUGUGCAGCGGCCCCAUUGUCUCGGCCGCUUUGUCCCCGCGCUGUCUUGGCCCCUCAUGGACUCUGAGGCAGGCGGCCUUUCAGCUGUGCCUGUUCCAUUCCCUGGCUCUUUUCUUCUUCUUCUCCUCCUCGGCACCUUGAACUCUUGAAAUGAAAAGGUGACCCACUCUUCUGGCUGUUUAUUCCUGUCAUCCCCAGCACGGCUCUCUGCCCCACCUCGGUCCUCGUCUGACAUUUGGUGAGUCCCUGUUGGGCACCUGAGGCCUGAGUAGAAAAUUGGUGUCCACCUGCCUUUUCUCCCAGGGAAACUCUAGACCCCAUCAAGCUGAUGGGAAUAUGAGCUGGCUCCUCGGGGAGGCCACCCCUCACCCCAGGGCGACACCCCAUCUCUCCUGUGGGACUGUGCUAUGGUGAACUGGGCCUUGGUGACAGCUCAGGAAGCCCAGGGCUCUGCUCCUGACUUUCAGGGGACAGGCUCUGUGGUAAUGGGUUUCCCGGCAUGCCCUGUCCCCUGGUUCUCAGCCCUAGGUACUCCUGCAUCAUCGGCUUCCUGUGGCUGCAACAGAAACCUGAGAGAAGCACUCUGCAGAAAGAGACGGCUUAUUUUAGUUUAGCAUCCUAGGCUGGUGGACCCACUGCCUUGGGCUGUGGCACGAUAUGAGGGCACAGCAAAGCCAUUCACCUCACGGCUGGAAGGUGACAGAUGGAGAAAGACAAAGAGACAGCAUCUCAUGACCUCCAUCCAGGUCACAUGCUUAGUGACCUGCGCUCUCCCUCCAGGCCACACCUCUUUUAAAAAUGUUUUUAUUAGCACACAUUUACAGUACACACUGUUUCUAUUCAUCUUAGGGAGUAAGUACCUGAACUUUGUACUCCCCUUUCCUUUCCUCCCUGCUCUUGCUCCCUGAUUCUAAAGCCCUUUUCCUCAUUGUCUUUUUCCAUUUUCGCUCAUCCUUAUGACACAUACUGCUUACAUCACUGUGGUAGUCGGUACCUGUGUGUGACACGUCUUAGUUCCUUUUACACCCCCAUCCCUACCUCCCCCACUCUCCAUCUCUUGGCCUCCUCCCCAUUUGCAUAGGAUUUAUCUCCCUGUUUUCUUUUAUUUGUCUUUUCUUUUGCCCUUUAUUUACACUUUGUACCUGUUUUUCUGUGGAUGGACCUAUAAACUGCUUUCAAGGUAUUUUGAAUUGCACAGCUAUGAACAAUGGUAUCCACAUACCACGAAAAACAGACAGUGGAUCAGUGGAACAGAACAGAGGAUGCAGAAACAAUCUCGGCCACAUCAGGCCAUCUGAUCUUUGACAGAGGAACCAAAUACGCUGGAGGAAAGACAGUGUCUUUAGCAAAGAGUGCUGGGAAAACUGGCUCUCCUUAUGCAGAAGAUUGAAUCUAGACCCAAGCAUCUCACCAACUACUAAACUAAAAUCAAAAUGAACCAGAGAUCCGAAUAUUAAAACAGAAACACUUAACUUGUUGAAAGAUAAAAUUGGUAAAAUUCUUGAAAUCAUCAGUGUAUACAAGCAUUUUCUGAAUAGAACUCCAAUUAUACAAGAGAUAACAGCAAGAAUCAACAAAUGGGAUUAUAUUAGAUUAAAAAUCUUCUGCAUGGCAAAAACCAAAACAAAACAAACAACAAAAAAUACCAAGAAUAACCAACAAAGUGAAAAGAUAACCUACAAAAUGGGAAUAAAGAAAAAAAAAAGAGCAACUGACAUGAAUAGAUACUUCUCAGAAGAAGUACAAAUGACCAAUACCUACUGACAGAUCUGCUUAAACUUGCUGCUGAAGACUACGGGGCUCAGGCCAACAACAGCCCACUUUAAGGUGUCCGUCUCAGGGUCCCAAGUCCCACUAAAAGUCUCAGGUACCUACCAGAGGAGAGACAGGAGGCCUGGCCUGGCUUUACCAUGUCCCUCCCUGGGCCAGCCGGACUGAACUUGUGGUCAUCCAUCGCACCUGCUGUGUGACCCCCACCCGGCCUCCGUGUCCCCAGACACCUGUUUGGAGCCUCAUCCUCCCCCACCUGGAAUUCCGUCCACCCUCAAAGCUCAGCUUCCUGCUGCAGUCUUUCUUCUGUGUGUGUCUCUGGCCCCAUCCUCUGUUCUUAAGCAUUCUGCACUAAAUGUGGCCAUCUCAGUUGAGACCUGCCUUGUAGGACCUGGUCAGCAUGUUUUAGGAGACAGGGGAUCCUGUGAGCACCCGGGCUUGAAACAAUGUCACCUGAAGUGGGCUCUUUGAUUCUUCAGCACAGCCUGGAAAAGCAAAGCAACCCCAGGCACACUGGGCCACGGCCUUUCUCCGUGCAUGAUCAACACCCACUAACUGAAUGGCUGAGUUUGUUUACCAAGAGGAGAGAUGGCACCCUCCUUCCUCGCAAAACAAAGACUUUCCCCAGGAGUGAUGGCAGAGAGGUCAGCCCACAGCGUUUCUGUUUGCCUUUUAUGAAUGCUAGGCCCAGAUGCUCUGCAGACAGAAGCUCAUUGUGUGCGCACUGUGGGAGGUGGCUCUGGCGGGGAGGCAGUGGCCCUCCGAGCUCUUCAGGUCUGGAGGUGACAGAGCCUGCGGUGUGCAGGGUUAUCAGCCAGAAUCCAGCUUUCCCAGAGGCCUGGCCUCCGGUCCUAUGACUUCUGGCCUGGGCCAGGGAAGCCCUAAUAAUAGCAUCUAACGAGUCUGCAUGUGAUGCUUCAUUUGACCCUCCCAGCUGUCCUGCAGCUUCCCCUCACUUGACAGAUGAGGGAGGAGCCCAGAGAGGUCAAGCGCUUUGUCUGAGUUCACACAGCUGGUGUAAGACAGAAAGAGGAUUUGUGUCUGAGCCCUUGGGCUUCAAAGCCUCCUCAUUCUACCACAUUCUACCACAGCUGAAUCACAGGGAGGAGGAUGCGUGGCUCUGUGGUCAGUGCAGAAGCCCACCGCACUUUGGACCCGCGUCACUUCCAACUUGUAAUCCUUACUUGUAAUCCCUUUGCCCUGAGCUUGCUCUUCUGUGUGAAGCAGUUUGCAGGCUGGAGGGUAAGAAGGGGAGAGUGUUUUUAAGAACUAGUCUGAUUGAUUAGCAGGGCAGGAGGAUUGCAAGUUUGAGUCUGGGUAACUUAGCGGGACCCUGCCUAAAAAAAAAAAAGAAAAAGAAAGCAUAGAAGAGGAAAAAGGGGAAAGAACCACUUUGGUAAAGUUUAAGGCCGUGGUUAAAGUGGUUUGAGGAAUCUGAAGAACACUGGAGGUCUGACGGGUGAGGGCCAGAGCACAGUGAGCUGCUAUCUCAGACUCUGAAGGGCCCUGGAACCUGCUUCCGGGUGCCCGCCCUGGCCCACCCUCAGGGGAAGUCUUCGUGCUGCGGAAGGGACUUCACACUGGAUGGACUGUGACUCUGAGAGUCCCCUUCAGAUAUCUGCGCUGCUGCACCCUGCAUCACGGGAGGGACACUGGGCCCCUGAUUGGCUUAGCGCUUUGAUUAGAUCCAUAAAUCCCUACCAAGCACUGAUGGGCAGGCAAUCCUCUGGUGCCAUCUCUCAGCAUCUCUGUUCUGGAGAGAAGCGUCUCCCUCCCCCUGUGUGCAGCCCCAGAUCCUGAUGGAGGAGGGGGCAACAGCUGCCCUGAGCCUGGGGAACCCAGACAGUGCUGGCUAAAUGCAAAUGGGCACUGAAGAUGUGGGUUUCGAGCAAGGGACAUGGCAGGAGAGAGGAGGAGCAUGGGAAUCUCCCACUCUGGCCACUGGACCAGAAGGAACAUGUGUGCGCUGUGGUCCCCCGAGCAGCUGUGACGGCCACACAGCAGAGUCUGCUCAUGGUGGCAUCUUCUGUCUGACAGAAGCAGCCACAUGGUGGGCAGUUUGCUGGGGCUGUCACCUUCCCUGGCCUUGGGGACAGGCAGCUCUGGAUGGCCAGACUACCCUUCAGUCUCACCUUUCAGAGGAACCUGAGUGCAUUUUGAUCAGCCAGAGUGAUGCAGAUCAUCCGACUCCUUGAAAUCUUCUCUUUCUGGCUUAUCUCUCUCUCCCCUCUCUCCAUCCUUUACUACUUCCGGACACUCGGUAAGAUAAGGCAAGGUCCUAGGCGGUGGCAAUAAACUGACCAAGCCCCAGCCCCUGCCCUGGUGCCACCUCCUUCGUGUUACAACCACAGUGAGGACCCCGCACUGACCAGGGUGGCGCCUACACGGCGACCACUGUCUUGGUUACUUUCUUCAUUGCUGAAACACAACACUUGACACCCGCACUUUAAAGGACAGAAGGUUUAUUGCGGCUCAUGAGUUAGUUCACAGUCAGGGGGCUCCAAAGCAGGGUGGAGGGGCAGCGGCUCCGGCUCGGGGCAUGGCAGCCAAGAGGCAGGGAGAGAAGGGAGGAGCCAGGAGAGAGAUCAACCCCCCAGGUCACGCCCUACAGUGACCUCUUCUCACAGCAAACCAGCUCUGCUGCCCUUAUAAUCCAAUCACCUCCCCAAAGUCCUGCCUGUGAAUGCAAGAGGCUCUGGUGGAUGGGCCGGGAGAUGGGCCUUGAAGGUCUGAGACACUGCCCCAGGGUAAAACCAGAGCACUGAAAAGACACCAGCUGCCCUGUGCUCCUGGCCGGAACCACCACUUGCCCUUCAGUGGCACAGGAAGAGCCACUGUUGGUGAACACAGCUUAUGUGCCAAUGGAGCCCACGUGUGCACGGUGUCCUGUGUGACCCUCACAACGCCUAUCAUAUGGAUGAGGGCAGAACUAGCCAGUGCAUAGUCGAUGGCAGUGAAGGCCUUGGUGGCCUGCUCUAAUACCUGUGCUAUCUUGGUGGCUGAGGGCUUCUGGUCUGCCUUACAGGUGCAUCCUGCAGCUGCAGGGGUGUGUAGAGCAUAUGGUGCAGAGCCCGGAGCCAGGCUUGGACGGUGCUGUCUCUGAGCUGGGCGACUCGGGUCCUCCUGCACCAGGCACCCGCACUUCACCAGCCUCCCGCAUUUGGAGCAGAGCAAGAGACCUCACAGACGAGGCCAAGCAGGGCAGCAAGGCUGGGCUCAUCUGGAACUGCAGCGUAAGGACUUGGGGGGCCUCACCUGUGCUCCUCACCUUCCCUGAGCCUUCUCUUGUGUUGGGAGCCGCGGCCGACACCGGUCGCCUUACUUGGCGGACGUAGGGCCUGUGGGUGGGAGCGGAGCCUGAGCUAGAUUGCCCCUCCCAUCGAGUGAGCCAAGUUGGCGCCUGCUUCCUGCCCCCUGAUUGCCCUGGCGACUUAAACAACCCGCUCUGUAAGAUAGUCUGCCUAGCAACAACUGAUGUUAGCCAGUCAGCCCGCAUCGCGCGCUUUGAACUGAUUGGCUACUGUUGCCCUAUAAAAGUGAAUGCCUCUCCCGCCACGAGGAGGAAGCACAGAGAGAGAUAGAGAAAGUCCACCGGCGAGAAAGGGCUGGUGACAGAGCGGAGGCCUCGCGGGGCCCACGCGGAGACAAAUAAAGGCAAGAUUGCACACCGUCAGAA